UGAGUAGAGUGGCGAACGGGUGAGUAACACGUGGGUGACCUACCUUCGAGUGGGGGAUAACGUUCCGAAAGGAGCGCUAAUACCGCAUGACAUUCCGGGUUUGAAGACCUGGAAAUCAAAGCCGGGGACCGCAAGGCCUGGCGCUUGAAGAGGGGCCCGCGUCUGAUUAGCUAGUUGGCGGGGUAAUGGCCCACCAAGGCGACGAUCAGUAGCCGGCCUGAGAGGGCGGACGGCCACACUGGGACUGAGACACGGCCCAGACUCCUACGGGAGGCAGCAGUGGGGAAUUGUUCGCAAUGGGCGCAAGCCUGACGACGCAACGCCCCGUGGAGGAUGAAGGUCUUCGGAUUGUAAACCCCUGUUGACCGGGAAGAACGAGCGCCGACCUAACAGGUCGGGGCACUGACGGUACCGGUUGAGGAAGCCACGGCUAACUCUGUGCCAGCAGCCGCGGUAAUACAGAGGUGGCAAGCGUUGUUCGGAAUUACUGGGCGUAAAGGGCGCGUAGGCGGCCUUCUCAGUCAGACGUGAAAUCCCCCGGCUUAACCUGGGAACUGCGUCUGAUACUGGAAGGCUGGAGUUCGGGAGAGGGAUGUGGAAUUCCAGGUGUAGCGGUGAAAUGCGUACAUAUCUGGAGGAACACCGGUGGCGAACGCGGCAUCCUGGACCGAAACUGACGCUGAGGCGCGAGAGCCACGGGAGCAAACGGGAUUAUAUACGCCUGUAGACCUGGCCCUACACGAUGAGUGCUUGGUGCGGCGGGUAUCGAUCCCUGCCGUGCCGAAUCUAACGCAUUGAGCACUCCGCCUGGUGAGUACGGUCGCAAGGCUGAAACUCAAAUGAAUUGACGGGG
rnacentral:rRNA from 1 species